UGUCCCUGCCACUCUGCAGCUCCCCUAGGUCUUGUGGGGCCCGUGCCUCCCGGCUGGCUGCUCUGGUCUUAGAAACUCACCGGAGAGAAAAUGGUGGCUCUCACCAGAGUCCAACCAUGCUUUCUUGAUUCACAGAAUGCUAUGGUAUCCUUUAAGUUUUCGAAGUCUCUCUGGAGAACUCAAUCUGUCUGUAUUUAGCGCUUCCUGUGGAAGAUGCCACUGAAAAGCCAUGUGCUUUUAUUAUUUUCAUUGCAUGCUUUUACAGUUCUGUUUGGUAUUAGUGAACAUUCAUGAAGAUCAACUUAAGUCUAUACAUGCAAAAUGUAUUCACAAAAGUGUCAAUGCUCUUGUCCCAAGCUAUUAUGCCCCAAGCCCUUGCUCCAACCCUACAAGUUAUCUCAUUCUCAAGAUUUGUUCUGUCUAUCUAGUAUUUGCUCAGUGGCAUUUGGCCCAUGUUUCCCGGGGAUGCUUUCUUCUGGUUUCUAGCAAUGACCCUGCUGCUUUUAGCUGGCAGACUAUCUCUUUUUCUCAGGUGGUUAUUGAGUAGACCAUCUCCCUUGUCUUGUCUCAUGUACAGUUACCAUUAUAAAACAGCUUGCAAGAAGGUGUUGAAAAGACCACUUGCAAAAUUGUAUUUAUGGGCUUAAUUGUCUAGGUUACUCUUAGCAUGAGAAUGAGGUGGAUCAAGAGAAACAUAGUAAGCUGCUAAAUCCUAUCAAACUCCCAGUGAUGUGUUCAAAUGUGUGAUGCUUAAGCUUUGGAGAACCCGUCUGGUACUUGGGAGGCUAAAUGGUACUUUUUAAAAUGCUAAGUUCAGGCCUAGCCAUGCAGAGUCCAAAGAAUUCCACUUUAGGUUUUAGGUUUACCCAGGGCCGAAAGACAAAUCUACAAAUAGCCUUUGGCAUUCCCGCAAACAUGUAAAACCAGAUGCUACUACUAGAUGUCAUGAAUGAUCCUUGUAGUUUACUUGUCAUCCUUUAGGCUUUUAGCUUCCUUUUUUUGUCAUGUGCACUUGUGGCCUCUUUGACUAUACCAUGCUCCCUUCUUUGCAGUACCAGCUUUCCCCAGAAAUCUGGGAAGUAACAAAGGCUGGAUGAUGUUUCAGUGAGGGGUCUGCUGGUGUAUGCCCUAAACAGAAACUGAGUGAAUUGUGGGGUUUUCCUGAGUUCAAAGUACCUGAGAAGAAUGAGGAAGGACAGGUACAUACAGUCUCAAGUCAGUGGUCAUGCUUUAUCUAUACACUCCUCUACGGUGGACAACAACACAGGAUAGGAAUUUGACACUUAGUUUUCUUGCUUCUCACUACACUCUCAUAGCCUUUCAACUUAAACAACGUUUGUAUGGUCAAAGAUGCAGUCUAGUGUGUCUUAAAUUCCAAGUGAUUGGUUGGUAGAUGAGUUAGGAUGAUCAAUGCAUACUGUUUUGUAGACCAUUCCAUGCCACCAUUUUGAUCCCUGCCUUUGGUAUCACCAUGUCAUGUGAUCCCUCCAGAAUUCAUCUCAACAUUUAUCAUCAUGAAUAAACUUUCAAACCAGCUCUGAGAUUUCAUUUCCCAGAAAAUAGAAUAUCUUUGAAAGGCAAUAACAUCUCUGGACUCUUCUAAGCCAAUCCUGGUGGAUGGCAGAGUUCUGUCAGUAAUUGGAACAACGAUUCUCUGCUGGUCCAUGAUGAGCAGAUUCCAGACACCUUUGAUCAAAAUAUAAUGGGAUGAUCUCGACUGUUUGGCUGUUAAUUAUGGAAGAAGAAACAUUUGUCCAUCAACUUCAAGCCUGGAUGUGUUCGUAUUUGCGUCCCAGCCCUUGAACUCUUGUGUCUCCAAGAGAAAACUUUUGGUGGGGUUGCUGCAGGAUCUACAUGUGGAUCUCUUUGCUUGCCCUCUGUGCAUGGAUAACACAGCCCCAUUGCUGGGAGGAGAACAAAGGCCUGGAGAUGUCAUGCUGUCCACCAGUUCAGACAGUGCAGAAAAGCAGGCAACCUACACCAGAACUUCUGAGUGCUAGAACCCUGUCAGUUUCCACAGGGUAUCUAGGAUGCCUCUGUACAGGCCAUAUGGCAGAAAUUAACUCUUUCCUGAAGAGCCUGACUGACAUAGUGGAGAGAGAGCCCACAAACUCCCUGUCGCAGUCUCCUUCAGAUCUUCCAUGUCUCCAUGGCUAACACUUCAGAGAGCUUCUGAGUAUCCUGACAGGAGAGCUGCAGCAAAAACUCAGACUUCAGUCUCUUGAUACUGAACAGACCGUUCUAGCUGAUGAGGCCAGGCUUAGAAGAUGGACUGCAGCCAAGAAGCCUGGCCACCAUAAAGACAAGUCACAUCUUUAGGAAAUACUUGAAAAACACUUAUGCACAUGAAAAAAGUACAAGGAUUAAAGUCUCAUCAGGCAUUCCAGCAUAGAGAGUCUGACAGAUGCAGGUCAGAAGUUACCUCCAAAUAAUAGAAGAGGAAGAAGAUCCCACUCCACAGAAGCCUGUUGCUGAUGCUGUUGCAACCAGGACUAUGAUUGUGAAACUUGUUUCUCUGUGGAUACCUGUUUCAGGAAUCUUGUACCCAGGUAUCCACAGUCCUCCUCACAUAUCUCAUUUUGUACAACUUUGUAUGUCCUGAAAUUGUGUCCUGUGCUGAUGAUAUCCCACUUGACACAUAGAAAGAGUUUUACCCAUUUAAGGAGCUGGAAGUAGGCUGGACCCACUGUUGACAUUAAAGUGGAUUUCUCUA